AUCAGGUAGGGAUACCCGCUGAACUUAAGCAUAUCAAUAAGCGGAGGAAAAGAAACUAACAAGGAUUCCCUCAGUAAGGGCGACUGAAGCGGGAAGAGCCCAUGUUGCCAAGCCUUCGGGCGUUGUAGCAUGCGUGACUUGUGCAGGACCAGGAGUAAGUCCCUUGGAACAGGGUAUCAGAGAGGGUGACAGUCCCGUCUGUCUCUUGGUCUUUUGCAUCUGAAGUCCGUGUAACGGAGUCGAGUUGUUUGGGAUUGCAGCUCAAAGCUGGUGGUAAAUUCCAUCUAAGGCUAAAUACGGGUGGGAGACCGAUAGCGAACAAGUACUGUGAAGGAAAGAUGAAAAGAACUUUGAAAAGAGAGUUA
rnacentral:rRNA from 1 species